rnacentral:rRNA from 1 species
UACGGAGGGUGCAAGCGUUAUCCGGAUUCACUGGGCUUAAAGGGUGCGUAGGUGGGCAAGUAAGUCAGAGGUGAAAUCUCCGGGCUUAACCCGGAAACUGCCAUUGAUACUAUUUGUCUUGAAUACUGUGGAGGUCAGCGGAAUAUGUCAUGUAGCGGUGAAAUGCUUAGAUAUGACAUAGAACACCAAUUGCGAAGGCAGCUGGCUGCACAAAUAUUGACACUGAGGCACGAAAGCGUGGGGAGCAAACAGG